AUUUUAAUAUAAUUAAAAGAAUGGAACUUAGGUAGGAAAUUGUUUUAUCCAUUGAAUAUCGUAACUCUAUACUUUGUACGUUCUAUACAUUUUUUCAUAUUACGUGGAUUCCGUGAAUUUUUGCACUUUCAGACUUCCUGCGGAUACGUGAAAAUUUGCAGUCCCAUGAUAAUAAGAAAAGAAAGUGAAAAAUAGAAGGAUGAGAAAGUAAAGAAAAUAGAAAAUGGAAAAUGGAAAAAGGAAUAGAGAAGCAAGUGAAAGGAUUACAGUUACUUAUUAGAUCACAUAUUAGAAAGGGGAAAAGCGUAAAAAAUAAGGAAAAGAACUAAAAAAAAAAGGUAAAGA